rnacentral:rRNA from 1 species
CCUACGGGUGGCUGCAGUGGGGAAUAUUGGACAAUGGGCGAAAGCCUGAUCCAGCCAUGCCGCGUGUGUGAAGAAGGCCUUCGGGUUGUAAAGCACUUUCAGUGGGGAAGAAAGCCUUGGGGCUAAUACCCUCGAGGAAGGACAUCACCCACAGAAGAAGCACCGGCUAACUCCGUGGCCAGCAGCCGCGGUAAUACGGAGGGUGCGAGCGUUAAUCGGAAUUACUGGGCGUAAAGCGCGCGUAGGCGGUCUGAUAAGCCGGUUGUGAAAGCCCCGGGCUCAACCUGGGAACGGCAUCCGGAACUGUCAGGCUAGAGUGCAGGAGAGGAAGGUAGAAUUCCCGGUGUAGCGGUGAAAUGCGUAGAGAUCGGGAGGAAUACCAGUGGCGAAGGCGGCCUUCUGGACUGACACUGACGCUGAGGUGCGAAAGCGUGGGUAGCAAACAGGAUUAGAUACCCCAGUAGUC